rnacentral:tRNA from 1 species
UUCCUGGCAGUCCAGUGGUUAAGACUUUGUGCUCCAAAUGCAGAGGGCAUGGGUUCGAUUCCUGACUGGGGAG